AUUGAACGCUGGCGGUAUGCUUAACACAUGCAAGUCGAACGGUAACAGGCCUUCGGGCGCUGACGAGUGGCGGACGGGUGAGUAACGCGUAGGAAUCUGCCUCAUAGUGGGGGACAACGUGGGGAAACUCACGCUAAUACCGCAUACGCCCUACGGGGAAAGCGGGGGACCUUCGGGCCUCGCGCUAUGAGAUGAGCCUGCGUUAGAUUAGCUAGUUGGUAGGGUAAAGGCCUACCAAGGCGACGAUCUAUAGCUGGUCUGAGAGGACGAUCAGCCACACUGGGACUGAGACACGGCCCAGACUCCUACGGGAGGCAGCAGUGGGGAAUAUUGGACAAUGGGCGCAAGCCUGAUCCAGCAAUACCGCGUGUGUGAAGAAGGCCUUAGGGUUGUAAAGCACUUUCAAUGGGGAGAAGUACCUAGGCGGUUAAUACCUGUCAGACUGACAUUACCCAUACAAGAAGCACCGGCUAACUCCGUGCCACGCAGCCGCGGUAAU
rnacentral:rRNA from 1 species